rnacentral:ribozyme from 1 species
UUUCUUUCUUAUUAUCUACGUUCUCUUCAUUUUUCUCAUCUGGUGUGAGGAUCAUAAAUACAGUAAGUAAGUAGUGUGAUGCUGUCGCAUUU